rnacentral:piRNA from 1 species
AGCAUUCGUCUUGGGUUUCCUCAU